GCCCGAUUCCGAAGUUAGUCGCAUGUGGAUCUUAACAAGUUUAAAACGCGCUGCAAUUGAUAAUUUAACAGCAACAUCAACUAAAAGUAAAACGGAGUUGUGUUAUUUUAAUGCACGACUACAACUACGACGAUGCAUGUCACAAUACAACGAGGGACAUCUGUCCCUGAGCUGCAAAAAUGCAACAUAUGUUGCAGUAUGUACCACUGUCCAUUCUGCCAGCCCGCAUGGUUUAAACCCACAUACUACUGCAAGGUAAAGGACCAUGUGGAAGGCCAUUUUAACCGAGCAGUAUCACAUGAAGGGUAUACCAUUCAUAGAUGUGGGCUACAAUGCCGACCAAAACUGCACUUUAGUUGCAUCUAUCGCCGUGGAAUAAUAACGCGCAUGGGUACCCUUCAUAAAUCACCUUCGCAUGUGUAAGGAAAAGCACCCUGCUUUGAUGGUCUCUGUUGGUGCUGCUAAGGCGCCUGCACCCCCACAGAGGAACACCGGGAAGUCCUUUUUAGACAUCCGAGAGGCAUUGUGGAUGGAGAAGGAACUCCCAACAACAUUGUGAAUGAGGUGGACUUUUUGAUGGCUGUUCUAUUACUAGAGAUGAUGUUAUCCCCAGCUGCUCCACACGUUCAAAAUAGAUACAAAAAUAUAGUUUUUUUUUUGUAUUUGUAGAUUGUGUGAAUAUUUUCUAAAAUAUUUCAAUGUACAAAUCCUUUUCUCUUAAUAGGCUAUUAUUUCCAGGGCAUAGUGAGGGUGACCUCCUACAAGUACCUAGGUGUUCUUCUGAACAACAAACUGGACUGGUAUACAAACACGGACACCUUGAUUAGGAAAGGAUAGAGCCGACUCUUCCUACUCAGGAAACUGGGGUUCAGGGUUCGCUCUUUAAGACUUUCUAUAACUCGGUGGUGGCCUCGGCCAUCCAUUAUGGCAUUGUCUGCUGGUCAGGCAGCAUCUCAGCCCGGGACAGAAAGAGGCUGGAGCAACUGGUCAGGAAGGCCAGUUCUGUCUUGGGUUGCUCCCUUGACACUCUGGAGGAGGUGGGCAACAGAAGGAUGUUAACUAAGCUAAAAGCUAUGAUGGCCAGUCCCUCCCACGCCCUCCAGCCCGCCCUGACAGCACUUGGUAGCUCCUUCAGCCAGAGACUGUUACACCCGCGCUGCAAGAAGGAGAGAUACCGACGCUCGUUCCUACCGACUGCUGUCAGGCUGCUGAAUAAAAAUAACAAUAAUAAUAAUAAUAAUUAAAUGAUGUGAAAGACAAUUUUAAAUAGCACUGCAAUUUAUCCAUUUUGUGUUUAUAUUGCACUUAAUUUAACGGUGUUUGUUGUUUUUUUUCUUCUUUCUACCUACAUUCUUGCUGCUGGAGGCUGUAAAUUUCCCCAGUGUGGGACAAAUAAAGGAUAUCUUAUU